rnacentral:rRNA from 1 species
CGUAGGGGGGCGAGCGUCGUCCGGAAUUAUUGGGCGUAAAGAGCUCGUAGGCGGUUCGGCAAGUCACGUGUGAAAUCUCCACGCUCAACGUGGAGGCGCCACGUGAGACUGCUGUGACUCGAGUCCGGUAGGGGAGCGUGGAAUUCCCGGUGUAGCGGUGAAAUGCGCAGAGAUCGGGGGGAACACCCGUAGCGAAGGCGGCGCUCUGGGCCGGUACUGACGGCUGAGGAGCGAAAGCGUGGGGAGCAAACAGGAUUAGAUACCCUGGUAGUCCACGCCGUAAACGUUGGGCACUAGGUGUGGGGCUCUAUCGACGGGCUCCGUGCCGUAGCUAACGCAUUAAGUGCCCCGCCUGGGGAGUACGGCCGCAAGGCUA